GUUAUUCCUUGUUGGAAAGCUGAUGAAACUUUGGGAGCACAGUCCCGAGGUUACAGUCAUUCAAAUCCCUGGCAUAAAGGCACAGCUUUAGGAAUUUAUUUAAAAUUCUAGCAAUUCCUUCAUAUUAAGGUGUCUGCAGCAAGUUUCAUCUCUUGAAGUUGUGAUGGGUGAAUUGUUUUCCUUUAUGAAGUCCUCAGUGUUCAGAGACAGUAUCUCGUCUGGGGCUCUCCUCAGCUCUUCCCAGGAGGGUGGCACAGAUGCCCCUCCGGUGGUCCUCCUUGGGCUCUCACACUCUGGGGCCUCUGGAUGUCUGGAGCCUGGAUCUCCUCCAUGCCUGCUUCAUGCCCUGGGGGACGGGGCUAUGGCUCUCUACACCCUCUUGCAGACCGUUACAUGGGGAAACCUUUUGAAUACAAGCGCGCUGAUCCACACAGGUGUGUACAUGGGUGUUCACUGUUCAUCGACAUAAACUACACCUUUCUUGGCUGUGACUUCAAAGCGCAUUAUGCGCUGUCGGUUCUGCGUGCUGCACAACAACAUUCAAUAUUUAGUAUUUACUGCUAUUUACACUUAGCUAGAUUAAUGCGAUGGCGUUGUGUUUAGUAUGUUGCUCUGUUUUGGUUUUUUUUUUUUUGCUUGUUUUUGCUUCUUUUUCUCUCAACAGGUGAUCCAGGAGAUUUUUUUUCUUCUUUCUCUUUUUAAGUGCCCUUUCUCACUGUCCCUCUUCCCUUCUGUUUUUCUUUUCCUUCAUCUUUCUUUCUCCCUUUCCUAUCCCUCAGUCAUGUCUGUCCCGUCUGUAACAACUGAAAAUAAAAUAAAUAAUAACAACAAAGGUCAAUCAAAUGGACCAAUAUGGCAAGGCCAUGAUGAUCCACUUGGUAAAAUAAAUCCGCUUGGCAUCUUUCUUGGCCUUAAGACAACAAUUCUGAUGGCUAAAAACCCUCAAUCUCACUGAGAUCAUGUAAUUUAAUAAAGGAUUGUAUCAAUUUAUCUGGAUUCCAUGGUGACAAGAAGCCAUAUUGUUUGACCAGGAAUAAAUAUUCCAGCACUUCGACCUUUAACCGGGCUGUGCAAUUUCUAAUAUAAAUAAAUGCGUCACAUCUCAGUCCCUAAGCGACUGUGAAAAG
ensembl:lncRNA